rnacentral:rRNA from 1 species
UACGUAGGCAGCAAGCGUUGUUCGGAAUUACUGGGCGUAAAGAGUGUGUAGGCGGUGUUCUAAGUUUGUCGUGAAAUCUCCCGGCUUAACUGGGAGGGUGCGGCGAAAACUGGAAUGCUAGAGGAUGGGAGAGGUAAGCGGAAUUCCUGGUGUAGCGGUGAAAUGCGUAGAGAUCAGGAAGAACACCGGUGGCGAAGGCGCUCUGCUAGGCCGCAACUGACACUGAGGGACGAAAGCUAGGGGAGCGAAUGGG